rnacentral:lncRNA from 1 species
AGCAUUUUCCUAUUAUAGCGUGCUGAUGGCGAAGGAUUCUCCCGUGUCAUUAUAGGCCCCUCCCACUGAUCACAGCCUUUUUUUUCUUCCAUAGCAAUUUGCUCCCCUCUGUGUAGGUUCAUCCUACAGUGUUUUGAAGUCAACACGACAUAUCGUCUGACCGCUACAGCUGCUCGUGUAAGACGACCACAGAAGCGGCGCCCUCUGAGAACGCAAGGCAUUGUGGGUAAAUUGGUUAUCGUUUGUUGUUUAGCUCUGGACAGUGAUCGUGUGUAUCAAAUAUGAAGCAGUUUGAACUUUGCACUCUAGAGUUAUAAGCGUUUUCGUAUAACGGCGUAGGUAUGGCGAGGGAUUUUCCUGUGUCAUGAUAGGCCCCUCCCACUUUUACAGCCUGCUCUAUUUGCCAUAGCAAUGUGCUUCCAUCUAAUAAGGUUCAUCCUACAGUGUUUUGAAGUCAACACGACAUAUCGUCUGUCCGCUACAGCUGCUCGUGUUGGACGACCACAGAAGCGGCGCCCUCUGAGAACGCAAGGCAUUGUGGUGUUUUGAAGUCAACACGACAUAUCGUCUGUCCGCUACAGCUGCUCGUGUAGGACGACCACAGAAGCGGCGCCCUCUGAGAACGCAAGGCAUUGUGGGUAAAUUGGUUAUCGUUUGUUGUUUAGCUCUGAACAGUAAUCGUGUUUAUCAAAUAUGAAGCAGUUUGAACUUUGCAUUCUAGAGUUAUAAGCGUUUUCGUAUAACGGCGUAGUUAUGGCGAGGGAUUUUCGUGUGUCAUUAUAGGCCCCUCCCACUGGCCAUGAUGGGUAAUUUGGUCAUCGAGCGUUGUUUAUGGAUGGACAAUCAUCGUGUGUAUCAAAUAUGAAGCACUUUGAACUUUGCAUUGAAGCGUUAUAAGCAUUUUCCUAUUAUAGCGUGCUGAUGGCGAAGGAUUCUCCCGUGUCAUUAUAGGCCCCUCCCACUGCUCACAGCCUGUUUUUUCUUCCAUAGCAAUUUGCUCCCCUCUGUGUAGGUUCAUCCUAAAGUGUUUUGAAGUCAACACGACAUAUUGUCUGUCCGCUACAGAUGCUCGUGUUGGACGACCACAGAAGCGGC